rnacentral:misc_RNA from 1 species
UUGUUCAUUAAAAGUGUACAGAACCAAAAUAUAGUAAUGUUUCAGAUACAAAUUGAUUGGCUUACAGAAUUUGCAAGACUGUACUAAAGAAUAUUUUGGUUUCUUUUAAAUUUCCAAGAGGAUAUAAUCAUGAGCUCUUCACACACCACCAAUGCUUCAGCUGUUGUUCAAGAAGAAGUAUUUAAACUUGAGGAACAAGUAGCUGGCAUGCAUUUGACUGUGCAAGGCACCCAAUAUGCAGAAGAUGAACUGAUAAAGUUCAAGGCACAGUUUAGAGAUAUCACAAAUGAAACCAAGAUUCAGUUUGAUGAAACCAACAGAAUAUUGGAACAUGAAAAACUUCAGGUUAAGAGAAUUUCUUCUCUGAAUCCAUCUGAGAUACUUGAGCAUACCAAAGAUCCAUGCAAAAACUGCCAAGGUCCAUUAUACUGCUUGAAUGGCCAGAUUGUGGGCAAAAGACCAGAGAAUCCUGCAAAGAUAAAGAUAUCACCAAAGAUGAAAUUCUACAAGGGUAGGAGUUUUCCUACAAUGAUACGUGUGGAUUUUAAUCAUUUUGGGCUCAGUGGCGUUGAUAAUCAAGUUCGAUGGUACACACAGAAACCCUAUAAAUCUCUUGGAAAAAACACUAUUGAUGAUGAUUUCACUAAGUUUGUUUAUUUUUGUAAUUACUCACCAUAGACUUGUAAACCCAUCUGAUCAAGGUCGAGCUUCCUUGUCUACUGGUCUUGUUUAUUAUUGUAAUUAAAUUAAAAUCUGAUCAAGGUUGAGCUUCCUUGUUUACUGAACUUGUUUUUCACUGGGUUAUUUUUGAAAAAUAUCCAUUAAUACAAUUCAAAUAUUUGUUACCUAGCACUGAAAUAAUGUUAAGAAUUUUGGUAGAAUCACAAAUUAAAUCAGAUUAAUCUAUUCAAUUUGAUUCAUUCUUUUGUAUUAGUAAAUUGUCGAUCAUGUAAGUGUUUAUAGUAUCCAUGUAUAAGCUUUAUCUAUUCUAUUUGAUUUAUGUUGAUUUUUUCGUAAUCAAAGAAGAAUCUUUGUAAACUAGUAAGAAAAUUGUUGAUAAUAUGUAAACUUUUACGAGUAUAAAUGAGAAAGGUUAUCAACAGUUUUUUAUGCUAUUCAGAAAUCUUUAAUAAUAGAAUAUUUUUUGCACUCUGUUUGAAACCAAUAUUGUUAUCUAAUGUUUCAGAUAGAUAUUGAUUUCCAGGACUGAAAUAAACUUCAGUACUGUUAUAGAGUAUUUCUGGUAUCUUGUAAGAUCGGAUAAAGUUCAAAGAGUUUAGAAUCAUGAGCGCUACACCUUUCAAUGGUUUAGCUGUUGUUCAAGCAGAAUUUAUGGAACUUGAGAAAAAAGUUUCUGACAUGAAGCUUGUCAAUCAAGGUUGAAGGGGUACCGUUGUGAAUUGGACAUUAACCUCUUAAAUUGGAGGGUAGAGGAAAAUCUAGUGGGUGUAUCGCUGUGGCCAUAGGUCUGGACAGGUUCUGAGUGUUAACAUUUAUGACAGUAUUCUUGAAGUUGAGAGGAAGAUUGCUCAAGAAAUGGACGCUAAGGUACUUAUUCAGAAUUUGAAGUUGCAGUCUGUAGAACACGACAAGAACAAGGAACAGAAGGAUAAGAUUUUUAAAAUAUUGGAAUUGAAGCUGGAAGAGUAUAAAAGGGAUCUACAGGAGAAGAAGAGACAGAUUCAAAGUUUGGAGUUACAGAAUGAAAUAAUUAUCAAGAACAUAGAACAGAAAAUUAAGCUAAGCAAGAAUAGAAACGGAAUUCUUGUUUGUCCUACUUAUGGUUGUGAGAAGAAUAUUCCCAAAGAAGAGAUGGGAGACCACCUCACUUCUUGUAGGCUUUUUGAGUCUAAUAAGUCUUAUCUGCAGCUUAAUACAGAAGUAGGCAAACAAAUUUCACCAUUUGGUCUCGCUACUUAUUCGGUUUACAUGUUGAAAGGCUCCAGAGAUUUGUUGAAACUUCAAUUGUCGUGUAAACAGGAGAAAGUGCGAACUAGGACCGGGAGAUGGACCUGGAGAUUUCAGUAUAUGGUUUUAAUCCUGCACCAUAGUGUGGAGGAUACAGAGGAUCAAUACUGUUACAGUUUUAAGUAUUUACAUGAUGGUAAUAGUAAAGAAUCUAGAACAGUUAGAUAUGCUCCGGUAGGGUUAUCAAGAGAGGAGGCUAACAUCUUUAUUCUGAACAGAGAUUAUUAUUCCUUGGAGCAUAAAGUAAGUGUGAAGCUGUUUAAAGUACGACCCUCUCUGGAUACCAACUGAUAUCAAAGCAUGAACCUCUCUGGUUACCAACUGAUAUCAAAAUAUGACCCUCUCUGGUUACCAGCUGAUAUCAAAUCAUGACCCUCUCUUUUCACCAAUCCUCUCUGCACACCAACUGAUAUCAAAGCAUGAUCCUCACCAACUGAACUCAAAGCAUGGUCCAUACCAUCUUCUAUCAAAACAUGAUCCUCUCACCAACUAAUAUCAAAGCAUGAUCUUCAUCAACUGAUAUCAAAGCAUGAUCCUCAUCAACUGAUAUCAAAGCAUGAUCCUCACCAACUGAUAUCAAAGCAUGAUCCUCAUCAACUCAUAUCUAAGCAUGAUCCUCAUCAACUCAUAUCAAAGCAUAAUCCUCAGCAACUCAUAUCAAAGCAUAAUCCUCAGCAACUCAUAUCAAAGCAUGAUCCUCACCAACUGUUAUCAAAGCAUAAUCCUCAGCAACUGAUAUCAAACUAUGAUCCUCACCAACUGAUCAAACUAUGAUCCUCAGCAACUCAUAUCAAAGCAAGAUCUCUCUGCUCACUUAUUGAAAACAAAGCAUGAUCCUCUCAUGCUUAUCAACUACUGGCCACAUUUCAAAAUUAAUAUUUUUAGUUUUCUUCAGUUUUCUAUAUUUAAAUGGGAUACUUUUAAUUAUAUUUCCCUUUUGAAUGGCAUUGGAUCUUGUAAUCAUUAUAAAUUAGAACUUUGGUAUUCUUCAUAAAUAUUGUAUCUUUGGUAAAGAUUUUUUUAUCUUACUGGAAUUGAUACACGAUUUUUUUAAUGGCUUUAUUUUGUAAGCUUAUGAAAGUACCCUGAAGAAGGGCUAUAAAUUCCUGAAAUAAACUUUCGUUUUAAAAUUAUUCUUGUCCUUCAGAAUUCUAUUUCAUU